CACGUAGGCGGCUCGGCAAAUCGGUCGUGGAAUCCCGACGCUUACCGUCGGAACGGCGGCCGAAAAUACCGGGCUCGAGGGCGUGAGGGGUCACUGGAACUCCUGGUGAAGCGGUGAAAUGCGUAGAUAUCAGGAGGAACGCCGGAGGCGAAAGCGAGUGACUGGCGCGUUCCUGACGCUGAGGUGCGAAAGCUAGGGGAGCAAACAG
rnacentral:rRNA from 1 species